UACGGAGGGUGCAAGCGUUAUCCGGAUUUACUGGGUUUAAAGGGUGCGUAGGUGGGUUGGUAAGUCAGUGGUGAAAUACUUUCGCUUAACGAAGGAACUGCCAUUGAUACUACCAGUCUUGAAUACAGUGGAGGUAGGCGGAAUGCGUCAUGUAGCGGUGAAAUGCUUAGAUAUGACGCAGAACACCAAUUGCGAAGGCAGCUUGCUACACUGUUAUUGACACUGAGGCACGAAAAGCGUGGGGGAGCGAACAGG
rnacentral:rRNA from 1 species